rnacentral:rRNA from 1 species
AGUGAACGCUGGCGGUAGGCCUAACACAUGCAAGUCGAACGGCAGCACAGGAGAGCUUGCUCUCUGGGUGGCGAGUGGCGGACGGAUGAGGAAUACAUCGGAAUCUACUCUGUCGUGGGGGAUAACGUAGGGAAACUUACGCUAAUACCGCAUACGACCUACGGGUGAAAGCAGGGGACCUUCCGGCCUUUCGCGAUUGAAUGAGCCGAUGUCGGAUUAGCUAGUUGGCGGAGUAAAGGCCCACCAAGGCCACGAUCCGUAGCUGGGCUGAGAGGAUGAUCAGCCACACUGGAACUGAGACACGGUCCAGACUCCUACGGGAGGCAGAAGUGGGGAAUAUUGGACAAUGGGCGCAAGCCUGAUCCAGCCAUACCGCGUGGGUGAAGAAGGCCUUCGGGUUGUAAAGCCCUUUUGUUGGGAAAGAAAUCCAGCUGGCUAAUACCCGGUUGGGAUGACGGUACCCAAAGAAUAAGCACCGGCUAACUUCGUGCCAGCCGCCGCAGUAA